GUCACCUGUAUAAUAUAUGUUAAGGUCAAGGUCAUCGGAGCUGACUCUCCUAUAAUGCAUAAUUACCGAAACUUUAAGUACUUGUUGAAUCUUGUCCGUCAAUAAAAUCGUAAAUAUAUCGUCAACAUAUCUGUAAAAAAGUUUUAUAUCAAAAUCCAAGGUCUCUAUACAAUGUGACUCUAAAUCAUCCAUCACAAUGUUUGCCGUAAUUGGUGAUAAUGGUGACUCCAUAGGACUACCAAAGACUUGACUAUAAAACUUUCCGUCAAAGUUGCAGAUAUAAAACACCAUCUUUUCCUUAUACCUUUCAUAACCAGUUGGUUAUAAAAGGUAUAAGGAGUUCCUUGGGUAUGUUGGUGAACAACGAAACCACGUCAAGAGAAACCAUAGAUUCAUUUGUUUCAAUAGUCACGUUGCGGACACCAUCAACAAAACUCCAACUAUCUUUAAUGUACGACCUGGGUUUCGGAAUAGAAUCGGUCAAUAUUUUAUGGAAGAAAUAAGCCACAUCGUACAAAGGAGUGUCAAUUGCAGAAACUAUAAUGCGUAGAGGAUAACCUGGCUUAUGUAUUUUUGCAUUUCACUCAUCUGCUCGACGUAGCUCUUCCUGUCCAAAACGACCGUAACCUGGCCUUUGUCCGCUCUUGUCACCAUUAAAUCAUCAUUUUCUCUUAAAAAUUGUUUACAAGUGUCCAAAGCUUUAUAUAAAUAAUUGUCAAUAACACUAUUCUGAUGUCUGUUAUUUAAAAAUCUACUA